UCAAUGAGAUUACAAUAAAGAAAGAGAAGAGGAGGAAUCAGGACAGGAAGUGACAUCAGCUUCUAUUAUCAAGGCAUUUAAGAGAAGCACCCAUUUUGGUCAGGUUUAAAACGAGGAAAAGGGUUGUUACGUCACAGGCGAUGUGGGCGUGGCUAAAUAACGCUGAUGUGAAGCGCAAUCCAGAGAUUCAUCGUGUUUCAUCUCUCUCGAACAGACAUGGAUCGCUCUCCUUAUGCCCCUGACAGCCCCACGGAGCCCACAGCGCCUUCUACAGCACCAUGCACAACACCCUGCACCACCACCACGUCUUGCACCAUGGAGGUCUCUGAAGCCCAGGUUUUCUGUAAUGAUGACCUCCCAGAGCUGGAGUGUGCCGUGUGUUUCAGUCAGUUCAACAACGUCUUCAACACACCCAAAGUGCUGCAAUGUGGCCACACCUUCUGCCUGGAGUGCCUCGCACGCAUCAACAUAAAAUCCUCUCAGCCCGACAGCCUGCAGUGCCCUCU